rnacentral:rRNA from 1 species
UGGUAGUCCACGCCCUAANCGAUGUCGAUUAGCUGUUGGGCAGCAUGACUGCUUAGUAGCGAAGCUAACGCGUGAAAUCGACCGCNUGGGGAGUACGGUCGCAAGAUUAAAACUCAAAGGAAUUGACGGGGACCCGCACAAGCGGUGGAUGAUGUGGAUUAAUUCGAUGCAACGCGAAGAACCUUACCUGGUCUUGACAUGUACGGAACCCUCCAGAGACGGAGGGGUGCCUUCGGGAGCCGUAACACAGGUGCUGCAUGGCUGUCGUCAGCUCGUGUCGUGAGAUGUUGGGUUAAGUCCCGCAACGAGCGCAACCCUUGUCAUUAGUUGCCAUCAUUAAGUUGGGCACUCUAAUGAGACUGCCGGUGACAAGCCGGAGGAAGGUGGGGAUGACGUCAAGUCCUCAUGGCCCUUAUGACCAGGGCUUCACACGUCAUACAAUGGUCGGUACAGAGGGUAGCCAAGCCGCGAGGUGGAGCCAAUCUCACAAAACCGAUCGUAGUCCGGAUUGCACUCUGCAACUCGAGUGCAUGAAGUCGGAAUCGCUAGUAAUCGCAGGUCAGCAUACUGCGGUGAAUACGUUCCCGGGUCUUGUACACACCGCCCGU